rnacentral:rRNA from 1 species
CGGAGGAGCUAGCGUUGUUCGGAAUUACUGGGCGUAAAGCGCACGUAGGCGGCCAUUCAAGUCAGAGGUGAAAGCCCAGUGCUCAACACUGGAACUGCCUUUGAAACUAGAUGGCUUGAAUCCAGGAGAGGUGAGUGGAAUUCCGAGUGUAGAGGUGAAAUUCGUAGAUAUUCGGAAGAACACCAGUGGCGAAGGCGGCUCACUGGACUGGUAUUGACGCUGAGGUGCGAAAGCGUGGGAGCAAACAGGAUU